rnacentral:lncRNA from 1 species
UUCACUGGCAUGUUCUGUCUGUGGAAAGGAAACUAUUAUUGGUUUUGACAAAUUGGCUGACCCUAUGCAAAAUUCAAAUCCAAACUCUGUUUAAAAUCCAAGUGAGUUGUCUAAACAUUAAUCACUGAGGUUAGAUGAAGGCUUACUUCAUCGGUAUUCAGCACUUUGCCUUAAGAUGAAAGCAGGGAAGAAACCUCCUCGGUUGGAGAGGAAAUAGUCUUAUCUGAGACCAAAGACUGACAUCAUUUGCUCAUACCCAACUCCCAUUGACUUCAAUCAACUUCAACUUCCUAUCAGAAAGAAUUUUGCUACAGGUUAAAAUUUUGAGCUUCACUGAUAGUAUUACAAGAGGAUCAAGGCUUGUAAUAAUGAGUUUAAUAUCUUGGAUACAGAAGGAAUAAUUGGAUUCUGGCAAAAGACAUAAUUUUAUAUGAAUC